AUUCUACUCCCUCCGUUGCACAAUACAUGCCUUCUAUUUGUCAAAAUAUAUAUGUAUCUAGAUAUGUCUUAGUAUAUAGGUACAUCCAUUUUUGGACAAAUGGAAGUCAAGUAUUUUGGAACGGAGGGAGUACAUA
rnacentral:pre_miRNA from 1 species